GUUUACUUGAAGCAUUGUGUAUUGUUUAUAAAGAAUAAAAAGUUUUGAAUGGUACAACAAUGCACUAUAAUACAAAUAAUGGACUAUAUACCUAUUGUAAUUUAGUUAUCUAUUGUCCAAUGAUAUUUCGGAAUACAAUUCCUUCUUCAUAUAUUCUUAGAUGGACAGGUAUAUAGUCCACUUUUUUUGUAUUAUAGUGCAUUGUUGUACCAUUCAAAACAUUUUAUUCUUUACAAACAAUACACAAUGCUUCAAGCG